rnacentral:rRNA from 1 species
AUUGAACGCUGGCGGCAGGCCUAACACAUGCAAGUAGAACGAGUGGCGGACGGGUGAGUAAUGUCUGGGAAACUGCCUGAUGGAGGGGGAUAACUACUGGAAACGGUAGCUAAUACCGCAUACCAUCAGAUGUACCCAGAUGGGCUUAGCUUGUGGGUGGGGUAACGGCUAACCAAGGCGACGAGCCCUAUCUGGUCUGAGAGGAUGAGCAGCCACACUGGAACUGAGCAACGGUCAGGACUCCUACGGGAGGCGGCAGUGGGGAAUAUUGCACAAGGGGCGCAAGCCUGAUGAAGCCAGGCGGCGUGUAUGAAGAAGGCCUUCGGGUUGUAAAGUACUUUCAGCGGGGAGGCGUUACCCACAGAAGAAGCACCGGCUAACUCCGUGCCAGCAGCCGCGGUAAUAC